UCUUACGGAGGAGCAAAGAAAGGGGUUUCUUGAGAUAGAAUCUACUUUCGGCGAAGAUGCUGUGAA
rnacentral:pre_miRNA from 1 species